GACGAACGCUGGCGGCGUGCUUAACACAUGCAAGUCGAACGGAAAGGCCCUGCUCUUGUGGGGUGCUUGAGUGGCGAACGGGUGAGUAAAACGUGAGUAACCUGCCCUUGACUUUGGGAUAAAUUCAGGAAACUGGGGAUAAUACCGGAUAGGAGCUCCUGCUGCAUGGUGGGGGUUGGAAAGUUUCGGCGGUAUGGGAUAGAAUCGCGGCUUAUCAGCUUGUUGGUGGGGUAGUGGAUUACGAAGGGUUUGACGGGUAGCCGGCCUGGGAGGGUGACCGGGCUCAAUGGUACUAAGGUAGGGCGCAGUAGGCUACCUGAGGCAGUGGGCGAGAGUAUGACAGAGUAACGCGGAGCGAGAGGCGACGGUGCCGGGAGCGGGAAGACCGCCUAUGAGUGAUAAACCGCUGUCGCCGUUGACGAAGCGUGAUUGACGGUAAUUAGUAAAGAAGCAACGGCUAACUACGUG
rnacentral:rRNA from 1 species